CCAUCUUGAGCUGAGCGCUGCGUGCGGUGUUUCUGCGCAGAGCCCUGGAGCUGAGGGGACGGCCCAGCCGUGCUGCACCGGGAGCUCCGGUCUGAAGCGCCAGGUGCGAGGCCUCUGGAUGCGGCACCCUAAGAACAAGGGAAACUACAUGAAGCGCAAAGGAAGAGAAUGUGAUGCCACUUUCCUGUGAUCCCCAAAUCUUGAUUCUGCUACAGGUGCAGUGGCUGGCUACUGUGAAUUUAGUGACUGGCAUGCAAUAUGGAGGCCAAACGGGGCUCAAGAGUGACUGAAAACAAGCCCAGAGGGAAGGACACCACAGAAGCUUUAGAACUGAAAAAGACACGCUGACUGGAACAAAGGCCUGAACGUCGCCCAGAGGGAAUUCCUGGUAGGAGCAGCAGCUGCUGAGAUGACUGUGCACAUGCACUUUUGCACGUGCAGGAGCCAAGGUCUGAGAUCUCCGCUGUCUCUGAGGCCCGGACGGCCUGCUGAGAAGAGGCCAAGGCACCCACCUCGUCUAGGCCUUUGUUGUUGCAGCUGAGUAUUCUACAAGCAAUUGUCUGCGUCCUGCCUAGCUUUGAUUCAUGUUGACAGGGUUACUUGGUAAAGCAGGUGGUAAGAACGAGUCUCCCAGCAGGAAAAGGCUGCCUCCGCUGCUUCAUGACCAGCUCUCCUGUGAUAAUGAGCUUCACCGCGUGCCAUGGCAAAAGCUGCUGUCCCCUUUGGAACCAGCCAUAUUAGGGCGGUUCAUUCACGGUGAGCUCUGUAGGGGCAAGGGGCAGGGGCGAGAUAUUCCGUGUGUGUCUGUGUGUGUGUUUACAUUUAGAGCAGAGUCUGGCAGAUAGUUAUUAAAAGCUGAUGGUACCCAGCAAUUAAUCUAAUUAAUUUUGUCCUCUCCAAUGACCACAGAUUUAUUGCCGCUGGUCUGAGCUUCAACUGGGGUCUAGUUUCCUUCUUUGCAAAAGGAGGAUGUUGCACAAAUGCGAUAAUGUCACUUCUGCUUUGUACCUUCAUUAAUGACAUUCCCCAGAGCCAUAGACUCCCAGGAUUACGUCCAGGCACUAGUAAUGUUAACAAGAAUGGUCUCACGUACCCCUCUCCCCAGUCAGGGCAGCUCUGCUUUUAUCUGUUGUAUGUUUUGGCUUUCCACGAGCUCUCAUUUGAUGGAAGGGUCCACUAAAAAUGAAAAGGAUUUCAAAAAGUAAAAUAUGAAAACUAUUGGUCCAGACAGAAAGUCUGAUAAAGGGUGGGCUAAGCCAGGAGCUACCCGGGAAGUCCAUCUCUAAGUUACUAAAAUGGUGCCAGAUAGUUCAGGUUUCCACACUCAAGGGCUUAUUAAAUCAGUUAAACAUUAAAUAAUAGGUAAGUCAUAAUUGUU